rnacentral:rRNA from 1 species
GGGACCCGUCUUGAAACACGGACCAAGGAGUCUAGCAUGUGCGCGAGUCAUUGGGACUCUAACGAAACCUAAAGGCGCAAUGAAAGUGAAGGUCCGCCUAGCGCGGACCGAGGGAGGAUGGGUGGUCCCGCGGGACCGCCUCGCACUCCCGGGGCGUCUCGUUCUCAUCGCGAGAAGAGGCGCACCCAGAGCGUACACGCUGGGACCCGAAAGAUGGUGAACUAUGCCUGGUCAGGACGAAGUCAGGGGAAACCCUGAUGGAGGUCCGUAGCGAUUCUGACGUGCAAAUCGAUCGUCGGAACUGGGUAUAGGGGCGAAAGACUAAUCGAACCAUCUAGUAGCUGGUUCCCUCCGAAGUUUCCCUCAGGAUAGCUGGCGCUCGCUUCUCGCGAGUCUCAUUCGGUAAAGCGAAUGAUUAGAGGCAUUGGGGUCGAAACGGCCUCAACCUAUUCUCAAACUUUAAAUGGGUGAGAUCUCCGGCUUGCUUGAACUGUGAAGCCGCGAGAUAUCGGAUCAGAGUGCCAAGUGGGCCACUUUUGGUAAGCAGAACUGGCGCUGUGGGAUGAACCAAACGCCGAGUUAAAGCGCCUAAAUCGACGCUUAUGGGAUACCAUGAAAGGCGUUGGUAACUUAAGACAGCAGGACGGUGGCCAUGGAAGUCGGAAUCCGCUAAGGAGUGUGUAAA